rnacentral:lncRNA from 1 species
GUUCGAAAUUCAUAAAUCGAUUGAGAAAAAAAAAACAAAUCCGGGUUACAAACUAAAACUGAGGGGAGGACAUCAAAUAUAAGAGGAAAACUACGACAAGGCUUUCCAUCAUUGUUGUCAUUGUAAACUUAAAUCAAAUAGCCCAAUUGAUUAAACGAUUUAAGUGUUUCAAACGCAUGCAAUGUUGUAAAUAAAUUUCAUUAUUUGAAUCUCAUUGCUGUUUAAGGUAUACAAUCAAAUUUACGUUAAUAACUUAUUAAUAAU